rnacentral:rRNA from 1 species
AGGCUUUGAUCCUGGCUCAGAUUGAACGCUGGCGGCAUGCCUAACACAUGCAAGUCGAACGGUAACAGGCCAGACAAUCCCUUCGGGGUGCGUCGGGUGCUGACGAGUGGCGGACGGGUGAGUAACGCAUAGGAAUCUGCCCUGCAGCGGGGGAUAGCCCGAGGAAACUCGGAUUAAUACCGCAUACGCUCUACGGAGGAAAGUGGGCCUCUUCAUGAAAGCUCACACUGCAGGAUGAGCCUAUGUCCGAUUAGCUUGUUGGUGGGGUAAAAGCCUACCAAGGCGACGAUCGGUAGCUGGUCUGAGAGGAUGAUCAGCCACACUGGGACUGAGACACGGCCCAGGCUCCUACGGGAGGCAGCAGUGGGGAAUAUUGGACAAUGGGCGCAAGCCUGAUCCAGCAAUGCCGCGUGUGUGAAGAAGGCCUGCGGGUUGUAAAGCACUUUUAUUAGGGAAGAAACGGCCUAAGUUAAUACCUUAUGGCAAUUGACGGUACCUAAUGUAAUAAGCACCGGCGUAA